AACGCGAAGAACCUUACCCAGACUUGACAUGCAGAUGACCGUUACAGAGAUGUAACUUCCCUUCGGGGCAUCUGCACAGGUGCUGCAUGGCUGUCGUCAGCUCGUGCCGUGAGGUGUUUGGUUAAGUCCAGCAACGAGCGCAACCCUUAUCAUUAGUUGCCAACAUUUAAGGUGGGAACUCUAAUGAGACUGCCUGGGUUAACCAGGAGGAAGGUGAGGAUGACGUCAAGUCCGCAUGGCCCUUAUGUCUGGGGCUACACACGUGCUACAAUGGUCGGUACAGAAGGCAGCGAAACCGCGAGGUGGAGCAAAUCCCGAAAGCCGAUCCCAGUUCAGAUUGUAGUCUGCAACUCGACUACAUGAAGACGGAAUUGCUAGUAAUGGUGGGUCAGCAACACCACCGUGAAUACGUUCCCGGGCCUUGUACACACCGCUACAGU
rnacentral:rRNA from 1 species